AUGACUCCUUUCCGCACGUAAGGAAAUGCCU
rnacentral:piRNA from 1 species